AGUGAACGCUGGCGGUAGGCCUAACACAUGCAAGUCGAACGGCAGCACAGUAAGAGCUUGCUCUUACGGGUGGCGAGUGGCGGACGGGUGAGGAAUACAUCGGAAUCUACUUUUUCGUGGGGGAUAACGUAGGGAAACUUACGCUAAUACCGCAUACGACCUACGGGUGAAAGCAGGGGAUCUUCGGACCUUGCGCGAUUGAAUGAGCCGAUGUCGGAUUAGCUAGUUGGCGGGGUAAAGGCCCACCAAGGCGACGAUCCGUAGCUGGUCUGAGAGGAUGAUCAGCCACACUGGAACUGAGACACGGUCCAGACUCCUACGGGAGGCAGCAGUGGGGAAUAUUGGACAAUGGGCGCAAGCCUGAUCCAGCCAUACCGCGUGGGUGAAGAAGGCCUUCUGGUUGUAAAGCCAUUUUGUUGGGAAAGAAAAGCAGCAGGUUAAUACCCCGCUGUUCUGACGGUACCCAAAGAAUAAGCACCGGCUAACUUCGUG
rnacentral:rRNA from 1 species